UACACACCGCCCGUCACACCAUGGGAGUCGUUUGCUCCAGAAGUGGCUGCGCCAACCCGCAAGGGAGGCAGGUCCCCAAGGAGUGACCGGUAACUGGGUG
rnacentral:rRNA from 1 species